rnacentral:rRNA from 1 species
CACCUGGAGCUUGGUCCCGGAUGUUUCCGGGGGACGGGGGAGUAACCGUGGGUAACCUGCGUGCCGGACUGGGAUAUAUCCGGUAAACCCGGCCUCAUACCCGAUAUUUCCUUGACCCCCGCGGGUUUAGGAUCAGGAAAGUUUUUCGGUGUGGGUUGGACAUGGACCCUAUCCGCUUGUUGGUGUUGGUGAGGUAACGGCUCGCCACGGCGACUAUGCGUACUGAACCUGAGACGGUGAUCGGUGACACUGGGACUGAGACCAGGCCCCUACUCCUGGCGGAGGUGGGGAAUAGGAAUCUUCGGCAAUGGACCAGAGUCUGACGGACCAACGCCGCGUGAACGAUGAAGGUUUUGUAAUCCUCUUUCUCUGUUGUUAAAGAAAAACAAGUGCAACAGUAACUGCUUGCACCUUGACGGUACCUAACCACAACCGCACGGCUAACUACGUGCCGAGCGCCGCGGUAAUUUAUUGGUGGUAAGCAUUUUGCAGAAUUAUUGUCCCUACUGCUGUCACAAGCCGUUUCUUAACUCUGAUGUGAAAGUGCCCGGCUCAACCGGAGAGUGUCAUUGGAAAGACUGAAACUCGAGUGCAGAAGAUGAGAGUGGAAUUCCUCGUGUGGAACACAAAUGCGUAAGAUGUGUCUCUAACACCACUACUGACACGCGACUCUCUGGUCUGUAACUGACGCUGAGAAUAGAUACCCUGGGGAGCCAACACGAUUACAUACCCUGCUAGU